AACGAACGCUGGCGGCAUGCCUAACACAUGCAAGUCGAACGAGAUCUUCGGGUCUAGUGGCGCACGGGUGCGUAACGCGUGGGAAUCUGCCCUUUGGUUCGGAACAACAGUUGGAAACGACUGCUAAUACCGGAUGAUGACGAAAGUCCAAAGAUUUAUCGCCAGAGGAUGAGCCCGCGUAGGAUUGGCUAGUUGGUGGGGUAAAGGCGCACCAAGGCGACGAUCCUUAGCUGGUCUGAGAGGAUGAUAAGCCACACUGGGACUGAGACACGGCCCAGACUCCUACGGGAGGCAGCAGUGGGGAAUAUUGGACAAUGGGCGAAAGCCUGAUCCAGCAAUGCCGCGUGAGUGAUGAAGGCCUUAGGGUUGUAAAGCUCUUUUACCCGGGAUGAUAAUGACAGUACCGGGAGAAUAAGCUCCGGCUAACUCCGUGCCAGCCGCCGCGGUAAUAC
rnacentral:rRNA from 1 species